rnacentral:rRNA from 1 species
UCCAGACUCCUACGGGAGGCAGCAGUGGGGCCUCUUGCACAAUGGGGGCCCCCCUGAUGCAGCCCCGCCGCGUGCGUGCGGAAGUAUUUCGGUAUGUAAAGCUCCCUCAGCAGGGAAUCGCAAAGAAGGUCCCUGAAAAAGAAGCCCCGGCUAACUACGUGCCAGCAGCCGCGGUAAUACGUAGGGGGCAAGCGUUAUCCGGAUUUACUGGGUGUAAAGGGAGCGGAGACGGAAAGGCAAGUCAGAAGUGAAAGCCCAAGUCUCAACCAUGGGACUGCUCUGGAAACUGCGGCGCUGGAGUACUGGAGGGGCAGGCGGAAUUCCUGGUGUAGCGGUGAAAUGCGUAGAUAUCAGGAGGAACACCGGCGGCGAAGGCGGCCUGCUGGACCGUGACUGACGUUGAUGCUCGAGAGCGU